UCGCUUUGGCAGCAAAAAUACUAAAAUUGGAAUGAUACAGGGAACAUUAGAAUGGCCCCUGCACAAAAAGGGACUAAAAAUAAAAGGCCAGGAGGAUUUGUCU